rnacentral:rRNA from 1 species
AGUCUACUCAUAAAGUCGACAAUGGAUGCCUUGGCAUCAAAGACCGAGGAAGGACGCAUACGGCGGCGAUACUCGUCGGUAAGGAGCCAUAAUCCUGUGACCCGGCGAUUUCCGAAUGGGGCAACCCCUCCGUCGCAAGACGGAGAACCCUGCGUAAAAACGAUUCGCACCCUGUGAUUCAAACUGGACAAAUCAGUGAAAAUUAGUCCAAUUGGUUCAUGGAGUGCGGAUCGUAUAGCGCUUGGUGGGGCACCCGGGGAACUGAAACAUCUUAGUACCCGGAGGAAAAGAGAUCAACGAGAUUCCCUGAGUAAGCGGCGAGCGAAAGGGGAAAAGCCUAAACCGCUCGAGCAAUCGAGUGGGGUUGUAGGACGACUGACUUAAAUGUAAAGAGAGUCAAAAAACAGGUUGAUGGGAGAAAGCUUUGGAAUAGGUUGCCAAAGAGAGUGAAAGCCUCGUAUCCGAAAUUAACCUGUCUCUCUGUCUGUUCCUGAGUACCACGGGGCACGAUUAAACCCUGUGGGAAGCUAGGGCGACCACGCUCUAAGGCUAAAUAUCUUUGAUGACCGAUAGUGAACUAGUACCGUGAGGGAAAGGUGAAAAGCACCCCGGAAGGGGAAUGAAAAGAACCUGAAAUUGUCGACUAACAAGCAACCAGAGCCCCGAUUUUAUCGUGGUAAUGGUGUGCCUAUUGAAGAAUGAACCGGUGAGUUUUCGAUAAGCUGCGUUUAGUCUAAGUCGUCUAAAGCGACGAAGGCGGAGUGAAAGCGUGCCCUAAUUGGGCAAUUAGCAGCUGUCGGAAGACCCGAAACCGGGUGAGCUAACCCUGGGCAGGGUGAACCCCGAUGAAAAUCGGGGGGAGGCCCGCACCCGUAUCUGUUGCAAAAGGUUGGGAUGACCUGGGGUUAGAGGUAAUAUGCCAAUCGAACCCGGAGAUAGCUGGUUCUCCCCGAAAUAUAUUUAGGUAUAGCGCCCACCUAAGCUCUCUGGCGGUAGAGCACUGAAUGGGUGCGGCAGCGCAAGUUGUCGCAUUCAAUCAAACUCCGAAUACCAGAGAAAUUUUAGUGGGUAGUCAGAACAACCCGGCUAAGCGGGCAGUUCGAGAGGAAAACAGUCCAGACUCCCGUCUAAGGUCUCUAAAUCGAAAUUAAGUGGAGAAGGAGGUAGAAUCUUUCAGACACCUAGGAGGUUGGCUUAGAAGCAGCCAUCCUUUAAAGAUAGCGUAACAGCUCACUAGACGAAAGGUUCUGCGCCGAAAAUUUAUCGAGGCUCAAAUUUCGUACCGAAGACGGAGAUCUUGUCCGCAGGACAAGCGAGUUAACAAAGUAGAAAGUUCAUGAGGUUCAUAAAGUGAAAACUUUAUAAAUUUUAUAACUUUAUAAACUUUUGACUCUCUCGCCCUGCGGGUGAGGUAGUAGGGGAGCGUUCCUGUUGCGGUGAAACUCUGUCGUAAGGCAGGAUGGAGCGGCAGGAAGUGAGAAUGCCGGUAUGAGUAGCGUAAGUCCGGUGAGAAUCCGGACCGCCGAAUGCCCAAGGUUUCCGAAGCAACGUUUUUCGACUUCGGGUUAGUCGAUCCUAAGGCGAGUCCCCGCCUCUGGCGGGGGGUAGCUCGAUGGACAAGUCGUUUAUAUUCGACUACAGGGCUGUUUGGAUAAAGACGUAAAGGGGAAAACAAGUUGGAAGAAUCUGGCGAAGCGUGAAGAUGCUUUCGUCCAAGCUAUAAGGCAGUUUUGACAGGAAAAUCCGUCAGGACGUUUAACCGAGUGGCGAUGGAAAAUUCAAGGUAUUCCGAGGAUAAUCGGAUAAAUUUCAGCUUGCGAGAAAACACUCGUUACGGCAAACAGUUUUAUCGUACCGCAAACCGACUCUGGUGGGCUGGUCGAGUAGACCAAGGCGAUCGGGAGAAAGAGGCUCAAGGAACUCGGCAAAACAGCUGGGCGUAACUUAGGGAGAUGCCCUGACCCGCCUAUGGCGGGCCCUCAGCAAAAGACGCUUGUCGACUGUUUAACUAAAACACAGGUCUCUGCAAAGCCGAAAGGCAACGUAUAGGGGCCGACGCCUGCCCAGUGCUGGUAAGUCAAAAGUGAUGUGUGACCCCCGAUUUUUCGGGGGAGGCGUGUUACUUAAGCUCCAGUAAACGGCAGCCUUAACUAUAAGGGUUCUACGGUAGCGAAGUUCCUUGUCGGGUGAGUUCCGACCUGCACGAAUGGCAGAACGAGCAAGCGACUGUCUUGAGCCUUUCCCCGGCGAAAUUGCAAUGGCCGUGAAGAUGCGGCCUAGUUUUCCUUGGACAAAAAGACCCCGGGAGCUUUACUGCAACUUGGCACUGGAACGGUGUUUCUAAUUGUCGAGCGUAGGAGGGAGGUCGCCGCAAGGCGACCGUCAAUGGAACACCUCUCUUUGGAGAUAUCGAACCUUACUCCUUGGCCACAAAAAAAUCUGGCAGGAGGACAAUGUCUGGCGGGCAGUUUGAUUGGGGCGAUCGCCACCCAAAAGAUAACGGUGGCGUACAAAGGUCGGCUAAGCACGGAUGGAAAUCGUGCGGAUUGUGUAAAGGCCAAAGCCGGCUUGACUGCGAGACGAACAUGUCGAGCAGGUACGAAAGUAGGUCUUAGUGAUCCUCCGCACCCACGUGGAUGGGUCGGAGCUUAACGGAUAAAAGCUACCCCGGGGAUAACAGGCUGGUCGCCUCCAAGAGUCCAUAUCGACGAGGCGGUUCGGCACCUCGAUGUCGGCUCGUCGUAUCCUGGGGCUGUAGAAGGUCCCAAGGGUCGGGCUGUUCGCCCGUUAAAACGGCACGCGAGCUGGGUUCAGAACGUCGUAAGACAGUUCGGUCUCUAUCCAGGAAGACCGCGGGAGAUUUGAAGGGAGUCGACCCUAGUACGAGAGGACUGGGUUGAGGGAAUCCCUGGUGUGCCAGUUGUUCCGUCAGGAGCAGCGCUGGGUAGCUAGAUUCCUUCGGGAUAACCGCUGAAAGCAUCUAAGUGGGAAGCCUACCCUGAGAUAAGAUCUCCAACCCCGAGCAAUCGGGGGAUAGACCCCUUGUAGACUACAAGGUUGAUAGGCGGCCGGUGUAAGAUCCGUAAGGAUUUUAGCCUAGCCGUACUAAUCGGUCAAAGUAGACUAA